AAAACCACCAAAGUUCUGAGUUUUUCAGAAAUUGUUUAAACUUUAAAAAAAUUUGAAUUCAGCUCACCGAAAGCUUUCAAAUAACACCCAUCAUGACUAUGCUACGACUUUUUUUUAAAAUUUUUGAUUUUUUUGGGUCCCACCACGAAA
ensembl:ncRNA Y39A3CL.15 ncRNA